GACGUAGGGCGCGAGCGUUGUCCGGAUUUAUUGGGCGUAAAGAGCUCGUAGGCGGCUCGUUGCGUCGGCUGUGAAAACCCGCAGCUCAACUGUGGGCUUGCAGCCGAUACGGGCGGGCUGGGAUUCGGUAGGGGAGACUGGAAUUCAUGGUGUAGCAGUGAAAUGCGUAGAGAUCAUGAGGAAGACCAGUGGCGAAGGCGGGUCUCUGGACAGUUCCUGACACUGAGGCACGAAGGCCAGGGGAGCAAACGGG
rnacentral:rRNA from 1 species